AUGUCUACCUUUCCUCAAGUGUGGUCCAUGUACCAGUGCUGGACCAUGCUUGUGGACUGCAGGGAGUUGGCUAGUAAUAUGGGGCUUGCUCUCCUUCUCCUUACCAGCUUCUACAAACCUCCAGGUUCUUCACUGCCAGGAUCUACCUGGAAACUAAAAACUGCAGGAAAAAAAGGAAGAGAGCCAGCACCACGUGACCACCAGCCAGCAUCUCCUAUAGAGAAUGUGAGGGCUGCAGCAGUGGUCACAGCAAUCAAACAGGAUUUUAAUGCCAAGCACGUCAGAUACAACCACCCAACUCAAUGCCCUGCCUGGAACUGUUAAAUGUACAGAUGAUGCAAACUGCUCUUGGAUCCAGCCAUGUACUUGUACUUCAACGACCUGUGCUGAAUACUCCUGGGAAUGGUAGCUCAUUCAUUUUGUAUCAAGUUGAACCAAAUCCUGUCAGCUCCCACUCUCUUCAUCAGGCCCCCCUCAUUCUCUCUUCACUCACGGUGCACGGCUGUGCUGAUUGGAUACAGCUGUGAAUGAGUGGAUGCUGUCUCCUGAACUGUAUGGCUCAGCCAGGGGUGUGUCUUUCUCCCUGUUAUCACUGAUUUUAACCAUUUUUGUGUUCAGCACAUUUUGGGCUGUGAAAAAGUCUUUCCACUCUCUCAAUACAAUGUAUUUAUUGUAGAUUAUCUUUCUGUCCUGUAAGCACAAUUGACUCUAACCUGCUGAACUAGAAGCAACCUUUUUGGAAAGCUGAAAGUGUGUAAAGGUUUGUUAUUUUUGUUUGUUGCUGUGCAUUAAGCAAAACAGUUUAAACAGGAUGCAAUAUAGAAAAUUAAAUGUUUUACAAUGCUUUCUCUUUUAAAAGGCAGCGAAAUAGCCAAAUCUCAGUGUGCAGAAUUAGGCACUUCAUUUAGUUCAAUGAUGUUACAAUGAUGCUUAUGCUAGCAGUGAAAGGAAUCCUUGAUCUGUAUAAAUAUAUACUUCAAAUAAUUUGAUACUCCAAAAUAUGAAUGCACAGUACUGUACAUCUAAUGUAAAGUGGGGUUUUGCUCUAAGGUGACUGUAAAAAUGACACUCCAGGGCGCCAGGUUUAUUGUCUUUCAGUGAGUUCCCUAUCAAAUGUGCUCAGAUAAAGUAAAAAGAUAUUUUAUCCAACUGUCAGCCAUGCAAUAUCAGCCUGGCUCUGAGAGUCUAGAUAGAGUCUGUCCUUCAUAAACAUCACCAUCAGAUUUGGCAGACCAAAUUAAGCCUCAAUGACACCUGUGCAAUCCUAUUACAUUCAACAGAUUUUCAAAGGAGUAACGGGUUGGAACUUAAUAAAUAAUUAUGUUACUGAUGCA
rnacentral:lncRNA from 1 species